CCCUUAGAUGUUCUGGGCCGCACGCGUGCUACACUGAGUAAAUCAAUGGGUAAGGGAACACGAAAGUGCAACCUAAUCUUGAAAUUUGCUCGUGAUGGGGAUCGACGGUUGCAAUUUUCCGUCGUGAACGGGGAAUACCUUGUAGGCGCGUGUCAUCAUCACGCGCCGAAUACGUCCCUGCCCUUUGUACACACCGCCCGUCGCUCCUACCGAUUGAGUGAUCCGGUGAGGCUCUGGGACCUGGACGGAAAGAGCGUUUCGCUUGUUCUGUUUGGGAAACUUGGUCGAACCUUAUCAUUUAGAGGAAGGAGAAGUCGUAACA
rnacentral:rRNA from 1 species